rnacentral:rRNA from 1 species
CCUACGGGAGGCAGCAGUGGGGAAUAUUGGGCAAUGGACGCAAGUCUGACCCAGCAACGCCGCGUGAAGGAAGAAGGCUUUCGGGUUGUAAACUUCUUUUAAGGGGGAAGAGCAGAAGACGGUACACCUUGAAUAAGCCACGGAUAACUACGUGCCAGCAGCCGCCGUAAUACGUAGGUGGCAAGCGUUGUCCGGAUUUACUGGGUGUAAAGGGCGUGCAGCCGGAGAGAAAAGUCAGAUGUGAAAUCCACAGGCUCAACCCGUGAACUGCAUUUGAAAUUGUUUACCUGGAGUGUGGGAGAGGUAAAGGGAAUUCCUUGUGUAGCGGUGAAAUGCUUAGAUAUAAGGAAGAACAUCAGUGGCGUAAGCGGAUUACUGGACCGUAACUGACGCUGAGGAACGAAGGCCAGGGGAGCAAAAGGGAUUAGAUACCCUAGUAGUC